UUCCAUGUUCACAUGUUGCCAAUGCAGCUCUAGUUGUAAGACCUUAAAUUGUAACUCUAAAACCAACUCAUUUUGCAGUUGGAGGUUUUUCUUCUACCUCAUAGCGUUCCUAGCUGGACUCCGAACUUUGAUCAAUAAUAAUCCACACAACCCUUAUGCUGUCCAUGGAAGUAUUUCAACCCUUCACUAGCUACAAUUUUUUCAAUGUUCUUCUGAUGGUGCUACAAGCACUUCAUGUAUCCUGGGCUGUGUUAAUCCUACAGAUGGCCUACAGGUUUCUCUUCUUGGGCAAGCUGGAUAAAGAUGAACUCAGUGAUGAAGAGAGUGAGCCGGAAAGGGGGGAGGAUGACAAGGGAGACGGGGAGGAGGAAGACGAGGAGAAGGAGUAUUGUUGGGAGAGAAGUAAAGAUGGUCUAAACGCCAAACUGAAAAUGCUGACCAAUAGCUGUGUCUUAAACAACCUAACAAAUCACAGAGCUGCUGUUGUGAGAAAGAUACGCAAUGCGCAGUAGAACUAUGAACCUAGACAGAGUUCAAGGAAGAUUAAAGGCUUUAAAUACGGGAUAGAGUUAACCAUAACCAUCUAAGCACAAUACAGCUGUAACUCCAGUCACAUAUGCCCAUUCAUUGUCCUACUGUAUAAAAUGUGAAUAGGAAGUACCCUAUGUAUUUUUAUCAUUUCAAAUACAUUUUUUCCUCCAUCUAUGGGUUCCUUGGCCACUAUUCUUCUCAGCAUAGUCUACUUGAUAACAAUAGACCUGCCUAUUUCCGUUUUUUUAGGACUGGCAGAGUGUAUGAAAGAGAUUGCUUUACCCUUUUUGAAUACAGAUUACUUGUUUGAUUAAGAAAUUAAUACUUCAGUAUACUGAAUGUAUCUCAAAGAAAGGUUUGAUAUCGCUGUAAGAAUUGUUUUGAGUGACCGUUUUUGUAAAUUCUGAAUGUAGUUUUUAAAAAGAGGAGGAUGGGCUCAUUGUGAUAGCUGGAAUGGAAUUAAUGGUAGGUGUCAAACACGCAAACAUAUGGAAACCACCUGUUUGACUCCUUUCCAUUGAUUCCAUUCCAGCCACUACAAGGAGCCUGUAUAUAAUUGUAUGACUUGUCAGGGAUAAAUGGUCUGUUAGAGUAGGCUACACUGUUGUUCAUAAUAUGGCUAUAAUUUAUGUAAUGUAAUUGCAGAAAAAAACAUAGCCUAGCUAGCCUAUAACAAGUCCUACAAUCUUCUAUCACAUAGUGUAAUUGGUGUUAUUUUCAUGUGACCAAUUUAUACUAAUGCUGAUAUACUGAUAUGCUAAUGCUUUGAGUUUCCGAUGUUUAAUGACCUUGUGUAUUUAAUUUAUUCAAUUGACCUUUGGGGGAGGGGUGCAGGUUAUUGGGUCAUACCAAAUGCUUGGCCUAAUAAACAAUUUUGGAAAUUAA